AUUGAACGCUGGCGGCAUGCCUUACACAUGCAAGUCGAACGGCAGCACGGGUGCUUGCACCUGGUGGCGAGUGGCGAACGGGUGAGUAAUACAUCGGAACAUGUCCUGUAGUGGGGGAUAGCCCGGCGAAAGCCGGAUUAAUACCGCAUACGAUCUACGGAUGAAAGCGGGGGACCUUCGGGCCUCGCGCUAUCGGGUUGGCCGAUGGCUGAUUAGCUAGUUGGUGGGGUAAAGGCCUACCAAGGCGACGAUCAGUAGCGGGUCUGAGAGGACGACCAGCCACACUGGGACUGAGACACGGCCCAGACUCCUACGGGAGGCAGCAGUGGGGAAUUUUGGACAAGGGGGGAAAGCCUGAUCCAGCAAUGCGGGGUGGGGGAAGAAGGCCUUCGGGUUGUAAAGCACUUUGUCCGGAAAGAAAUCCUUGGCCCUAAUACGGUCGGGGGAUGACGGUACCGGAAGAAUAAGCACCGGCUAACUACGUG
rnacentral:rRNA from 1 species